GAUGAACGCUGGCGGCGUGCCUAAUACAUGCAAGUCGAGCGAACAGAUAAGGAGCUUGCUCCUUUGACGUUAGCGGCGGACGGGUGAGUUACACGUGGAUAACCUACCUAUAAGACUGGGAUAACUUCGGGAAACCGGAGCUAAUACCGGAUAUCAUAUUGAACCGCAUGGUUCAAUAGUGAAAGGCGGCUUUGCUGUCACUUAUAGAUGGAUCCGCGCCGUAUUAGCUAGUUGGUAAGGUAACGGCUUACCAAGGCAACGAUACGUAGCCGACCUGAGAGGGUGAUCGGCCACACUGGAACUGAGACACGGUCCAGACUCCUACGGGAGGCAGCAGUAGGGAAUCUUCCGCAAUGGGCGAAAGCCUGACGGAGCAACGCCGCGUGAGUGAUGAAGGUCUUCGGAUCGUAAAACUCUGUUAUCAGGGAAGAACAAAUGUGUAAGUAACUGUGCACAUCUUGACGGUACCUGAUCAGAAAGCCACGGCUAACUACGUG
rnacentral:rRNA from 1 species